GAUGAACGCUGGCGGCGUGCCUAAUACAUGCAAGUCGAGCGAACAGACGAGGAGCUUGCUCCUCUGACGUUAGCGGCGGACGGGUGAGUAACACGUGGAUAACCUACCUAUAAGACUGGGAUAACUUCGGGAAACCGGAGCUAAUACCGGAUAAUAUAUUGAACCGCAUGGUUCAAUAGUGAAAGACGGUUUUGCUGUCACUUAUAGAUGGAUCCGCGCCGGAUUAGCUAGUUGAUAAGGUAACGGCUUACCAAGGCAACGAUGCGUAGCCGACCUGAGAGGGUGAUCGGCCACACUGGAACUGAGACACGGUCCAGACUCCUACGGGAGGCAGCAGUAGGGAAUCUUCCGCAAUGGGCGAAAGCUUGACGGAGCAACGCCGCGUGAGUGAUGAAGGUCUUCGGAUCGUAAAGCUCUGUUAUUAGGGAAGAACAAAUGUGUAAGUAACUAUGCACGUCUUGACGGUACCUAAUCAGAAAGCCACGGCUAACUACGUG
rnacentral:rRNA from 1 species